rnacentral:rRNA from 1 species
UAAGGAAUAUUGGUCAAUGGACGCAAGUCUGAACCAGCAAUGCCGCGUGCAGGAUGAAGGCCUUCGGGUUGUAAACUGCUUUUGUACGGAACGAAAAGGCUCUGGUUAAUACCUGGGGCUCAUGACGGUACCGUAAGAAUAAGCACCGGCUAACUACGUGCCAGCAGCCGCGGUAAUACGUAGGGUGCAAGCGUUAAUCGGAAUUACUGGGCGUAAAGCGUGCGCAGGCGGUUAUGUAAGACAGAUGUGAAAUCCCCGGGCUCAACCUGGGACCUGCAUUUGUGACUACAUAGCUAGAGUACGGCAGAGGGGGAUGGAAUUCCGCGUGUAGCAGUGAAAUGCGUAGAUAUGCGGAGGAACACCGAUGGCGAAGGCAAUCCCCUGGGCCUGUACUGACGCUCACGCACGAAAGCGUGGGGAGCAAACA